UACUGGCAUAUCCUGUCCAACCCCAUCCCCCAAUAUGACUGCAUUACAAACAAGGCUAGAAAGGCAACAACAAAAUUUAAGGACCGCACUGAAGAUGAGCAGGGAAAAAAAAUACCCAUCACCAAACAAACAAAGAAAGGACACACACUCUCAGCUGUAGGAAGAGCAAAGUGCAGACCACGAAGGGCAUUUCUGGAAGGACCUCCGGGCAGAGAUGGCCAUGUUUCAGCAUGCGUAAUUGUAGAACACGUGGCUGAAACAACUCCGCUGCAGAGAAGUGCCAGGACUUCCUCCACCAACGUGUGUCUCACACACGAGUCCCUGCUGUCACAUCGAGGUGGCCAAGCUGAGGCAAGAGGAGAGCUGGGCUCCAUCUCUGUGGGUCUUAGCGAAGGGGAUGACACUGUCCACAGCUGCUGGGAGAAGGACUGCAUCAGUCUGAGCACAAAGAGCUUACGAGAACCCAUGCCUUCUGAAGCAUUCACACUUAAGGUCAUGUGUUUUCUCUGAAAACGUCUAAUAAGGAGGAAGUGUUCAAAGGAGCAGAUAAUUCACUGGCAAAUGUCAGUCUGGAGCUUCUCAGACCCCCUGAGAGGACAGAUGCUGUUAGACAGACUGACUGCUCACAAGGGACCUGGGAAAAUGGUGCUCGGGAAAAAGCAGAAUGGGAUGGGUGCCCAAGUUUGAGCCUUCAGGGAGCAAGAGUCAGCCGAAAGGCUGGACAGCAGGAGACCAGUCAUAUUAAAGGAAAACAUCACCAGGAAGGGGUCUAAGGAUUUUUCACUAAGGGCCAUGAGCCAGGACAGAGAGGUCAAAGCAUCCUCAGGGGGACCCCUGAAAGCUUUCUUAAUAAAACCCAGCCACUGUACCCCCAGAAAGAAAUAUUACUCCAAUUCUUACUGGAAAACCUGGAGGGAACUGGCAAGUUGGGGUGGGGGUCUCCACAGCUAAGCCAUACCAUGAGGCAGCCUCAGGGGAGGCCCAGUUUCACACACUUUUGCAUGUGCACAGCUCCUUUUCCCAGAGCUGACCACCUUCCCCCCUUAGCCGCGCAGCUGAUGGGUGCCAGCUCCCUGCCAGCAGGCAACAGCCCCUCCACCGGCAGCGCAGCGCUUGCUGGAGGCUUCACAGAGGCUAGUGGGCAGAUGCCACAGUGGCCGCAAUGGACCUCUCAGGGCUACUACAAGGAAGCAAGAAAAAGCUGCUGCAGGAUGCCUGUAAAGCACAGCCAGCUAUGGAGGACUUCACAGACACACCUGGACUGUUUCUUAUCCUAGUCUGUGCUUGCUCCAUUCUCAUUGCUUCACCAACGUCUCUCGCAGCAAAAAAGCCAAAUGCCUCUCAGCAGACUAUCAUAUACCCUGAUACAGUGAGUUUAUGGUCUCAGGAGGAGUUUAAACUUCUACCAUCAUCUUGUCUUCUGCAGGAGUUCCCCCAGCGACUGACAGAAAUAUAGUAACUGGUAAUGGAGCUAGCUUAAAAAAAAAAGGGGGGGGGAAGAAAAAAAAAAGAAAGGCAGGAAUGAUGGAUAGGUUUCCACAGAUUUACAGUCUUCUCCAGCAAGUUCCCACCAGAGCAAAAGGACCAUGUGAGUCAAGCUGCAACACCAUGGUCAAGUCCUUAUGGAGUCACGCAUUGAGAGCUCUGCAUCUGCUGUCACGGACAGACAAACCCCUCAACAGCGUGGCACAACUAGUGGCCAGCCCUUGUUUUUAAGCACUGUUAUCAUUCCUAUGUGGGCGUGAGCUUAGCAAGCCUCACUGCUUUUGACACAUCGUACUAAUUGUUCUGGAAAGACUAUUUCUGUUGAGCUUUUCUUAAGUCAUUUUCCUAAGUAACAGGAUGAAAUGCAGAAAGCUGGAGUUAAAAUAAAUUUGUGAGCUGGUGAAAGCUAGUGCACCGACAGCACCGAGAAAGCAGAGAGUGCUGGUGCUCACAAAAAGACCACUAGCAAGGUCUGUAGUUUCUACUUCCAUGUGACCCCAUAUGCCAUGUUUGUGUUUUCCUCACACGCACACCCCCACGCUAAUUAACAUACAUGUUUGCAAUUCUUAAAUUAAAGCAUUAGUCAAAUAUAUUAAGACUCAAAUUUGCAUGGCUUAAUCUCAUCUGGAGCUGCCAAAAGUUAAUGCUAGCAAAGGUUUUGGUAGAGAAGAAAUCUCAGCUUGCGUUUAAUUCCUAACUAUCAGGAGUUGCAGGGAGAUGUGUAGAGAGCCAGAAGGUGGUGGAGGAAGGAAAGGCUCGGGUGAGGGCACUGCCUAUAGCUGUUGUCCAGCAGAGAAGUUUGGAUUAUAGAAAGGGAUAACGAAGUCAGCUGGGACUUUUCAGCUGAAGGAAGGAGGCAGCUGAGAGGCACGUGGCACAGAUGCAUGCAGUCACAAGGGGUCUGAAAAAGGCAAAGAGCAACCAGUGAUUCACCACCUCUUUUAAUAAAACAGCCAAAGGACAUCAAAAGAAGGUAUUAGGAGUCAGCAUCGCACCAAACAGGAGAUGGUUCCUCGCACAGUUAGUAGUCAAAACCACACACCUCCCUGCAAGCAAUGUCAUGGAAACUAAAAUCCCAUGGGAGCUGAAAAGGAAGGUGAAAAAGCUCAAGGGAUAUAAAUCCACAACAUACGUAGAAAUCACAUCCUUCUGAUGAAGCUCCAAGCUGAACUCUUCCCACACAUGUGCUGACAUUCACAACCACAUACAUGCUCCUGGGCUAAACUGACCUUGGGUCCAAAGUGUGCAGCCAGACACUCUUACCUGCUCACCAGGCUUUGGCAUGGCCCUGGAUCAGGCAGACCUCAGGCUUGGUACCAUCCAGCCAGGUCCACUCCUCAGUCCUCAUCGCAAGGCGCCCUGCACCUUCACCCCAAGGAUUCACCUAAAAGCACCGGGGCACUGCAGGCUUCCCAUCCUGCUCCUAGUGCCGCGGGAUGUGCUUACCAGGAGCAGCCUCCCAGGAAGCAGUCGGGCUGGAGAGAGCAAAACUGAAAGGGUGCAGACACCAUCGGACCUGCUCUCCCCGCUCAAAGGCAGACUUCACAAAAGUUCAGUGUCUGAUGAGAGGCUCAAUUCAGAAACAAAGCAAAAGAGUUGCUGCUUAGAAAAAGGCAUGGGAACAGUGACAGAAAACGGAUGCCUUAGCAGCAGUAUCAAGCAGAUGCAGGUAAAAUUUGUUUUCAGUCUAGUCGUCCUGUUUUACACCUGCACUUGAGUUUUUCUCCCCUUAAAGAAAUGCUUGCUUUGUUGUUUGGUUGAAGUUGUUAGGAAGCAGUCAGCUGUUAUACUGAAUUAAAUGCUUUUUAUUAUGCAAAGGCUGACACUGUCUGAGCUGUAACUGCAUGAAUGUGAACAGCAUAUUAAUUCAAAGUCUGUAUGAUUACACUUUACCUUCAAAGGUCACUCAGCAUUUUCUAUUUGCCAAGUCAGUGAUUUUUGAUGUGUGCUGUGUGGACCUCUGGAUGUCGGUGCAUUAUUUCUAAGGUAUGUGCAAGAAUCGAAGCAAGCCAAUUGAAAGGUAGGCUUCAGCUCACUGCAUGAACCAUGUUCUUAGUUCUAAAACAUAAAGAUAGUAAAAAGAUCCAAAACAUUAAAAGCCACAGUGCAAGUAUUUUUCCUGAGUUAUGUCAAACAGCAUCGGGAUGGGGGUCUGAUUUAAGAAAAAUGAACAAAGAAAGCAUCUUUUAUUCAGAGAAUUCAUGUACUAGACAUCUUGCAUUUACUUUUUUUGUUCAAUCUGUUCCAAGUAUAAUUAGCAAACUGACAGACUGCUUCUUUUCAGCAAGUAGUGCGCUUCCAUCAUCUUAAGGUAAUUCAGAUGGUGGAACAAUGUUUAGACAGGCUACAGGUCUGCCCCACAUGGAUUUCAACUCCACGGAAGCUAAAAUUUGGAGAUGCCUAAGUGCCUCAUGAGCCUACCAGAAGUUACAUCUGUAUCUUUAAGCAAUUAAAUUCUUUCCCAAAGCCAAGCCAACAUCUGCUAAGACUUGAGAACUUGGAGAGCGCAUCCUUUCCCAUGUGCUGUAUAUUCUCUAUGUACAGCUAAAUAAGUGCUGUUUUUAUGGAUGGGAGUAAAGAAGGAUGGGAUAUCAGGAGAGCUCAUCUUCCUUUUUCACAUCAAUAUUACCAACAUAGUUUAAGAUAGUAUUCCAACAUGAUAAAAAUAUUCUUUGCACCUCAAGUUCAGUGAAGAGUAAAAUAAAAAAACAAACAAACAAAAAAAAACCCAUCCAAAACCCAAACCACUCUACACAAGAACUACUGGAAGAAUUUACAUUUGCAAAGGUGUGAAAACCUGCAUUUCCUGGGUGGCAAGGGCAAACUGUAGUGCUAUAACACAGUGACAGAGCAUGCAAAAAGAGGGAUAUAUCUCCCUCUGACUUAGACGUAGCUCAUUGACCCUGCAUGAAUAUUUCAUAUCACAUAUUUAAAUUAAUUUUACAGCUUUCACCUAAAUUGUUCUUUCUGAAUCUUUAAUAGAUUUAACGGAAGUUUUUCAGAUCAGAAAUUGACUGAAGUUUGAUCUGGGACAUCUCCCCAGCACAACUGAGGCAGAAGCUACAAGUCACUCCAACAAAUUUCACGUAAGCCUCCUGCUGUGCAAGCACUGGGGGGCUGAAAAGAUGCUGUUGCAAGAGCAGACCGCUUACUUCCUAAGCAAGUGCAAGUUAAGAGUGCCCACGCCAGCAUCCUCAGUCAGCUGUGGCCCCACAAACAGACAGGAACCACCAGGCAGUUUCAGACACGGCAGGAAAGCAGAAGACACCAAAGGUGAUACAUCCCCCGCAAGCAGCACAACAUAGGCCAGCUGGCACUAGUGUCCCACUGUUGAGGAAGUCAAUACUUCUUCUUUUUUCCUCAUUAGGCCACAGCGAGUCCACAGACAAGAAAGCUGAUGAAAACCAGAACUCACUGGUACUAGAAUUUGUUUUCUCUUGAGAAAAGGGCUUUCCUGGUAAGGGUUCUUCCUUUAGUGCUGAAAUGCAGCCAUAUCCCAGGCUUAAGCACAUCUUGCCAUCACAUUUGGCAUUUGUUCAGCCUGGGAGAUGCUGUUAUUACCCCAAUGACACUUCCUGUUUGAAAACUGUUGUAAAAAAAUAAUGAGUACGCUUUGGAGAUAAGCCACCUCUUCCACUGUGCCAUUUCACGCUCAGAAGAGAGAGCAAGACCCAUUCAUCACUUGUGCAAAAAGGGAGGCUUGCACUGCGUAAUCUGUGCUGUUUGGGUUAUUUUCUCACUGCUCCCAAACUACUGUAUCACAGACUCAAGACAAUGCCCUCUUAUUCAGCCAUUUCAUCAGGUGUCCAAAAAAUUCCUGUAGCUGUACCGUGAAGCACUUGGCAAGCAUGAUAGUGACCGGAGUGCUUCUGCCUUAGCAGCCCACCCUCAAAACCCAGCUCCAGCCUGGUCUCCUUAGGCUUAGCCCAGUGGUUGCGGCACUGAAAAUCUUUUUGUAUAGUUACCAAAGCAAGCCAGAGCAAACACCACGCACUUCCCACCAAUGGAGCUGGUGGCUGAGGCACUAGGUGGAGGUGGAAAUACAGAGCUCCCACUUUGACUGACAGCUUGAUCCCUGACGGACAGCUUGAUCCAGUGCCCCAGCAGGUUUGUUUGCUUACAGCAUCCAGGAAGUACAGUCAAUCCAAGAGCAAUUCAAGCUUCAAGGCCUAGAUAAUACCUGAGCUCCUCUGACUCCCAAUUCAACCCUGUAGCAACCUAGCCUGCACCCAGAGGGCUAGCUUUCACCCCACCCUGCUUUUAAGCCCCAUCCAUGACCCGCUUUGCUCAUCUCUUAAUGCAGAGAAUAAAUGCUUGGAUGCAUUAGCAUCCCAGGAGCCUGUGGUCUCUGACAAGAGCUGGCACAACAGCAAGGGACAUCUCAAAGCAAGGAGGGGCUGUACUCAGAAAAAGCAUCUGGAAACAUACUGCAGAAGCGUACUUCAAACAGUGCCAUUACUGAGAGGAACAGGACACUUCCAGAUGGACUGAAAGUGUGGGGCAGGCACUUAGAGCUGGUCUCAAAUAGCUUUUCCAUCCCAUGGAAGUGAACAAUUUCUAUGCCCCACCAACCUCACCUCAGUGCAAACAGAAAAAAGGGACUGGAAACAGCCUCUGUUACCAUGGGUGCCAGAGGCAGGAAUCCCUUCAAGAAGAGAUUCAGAUAUUUAAGACACAAAUUGCUCAAGACAUAAACUUGUUCAUCUGCAGCUCCACUUCUCCACAUGGUGAUAAUCCGGAGGAGCUCUCUAUCACACAUCUCUCCUCCCAGACAAAAUUCCAAAGAGAAGGACCCACACACAGUUUUACAACCCACUAGGAUGUGAUGAAACCCCUAGGCCAGAGAGUGGGUCUGGGUGGGAGAGACAGAGAAUCUCUGCUCCGCCAGACGCUGCCUUCCGUUAGGAACCAGCUGCAAGGAAACAUCCCUUGAUGGAGAACAGGUGGCAUGUGCUGCUGAGCGCAGGGAUGCCGCUCCCAACUCUUCUGGCCGAGCCCACAAACCUUGCACCUCUAGCAGCUGCUGCACCCCGGCGCCCACGUCGCAGAGCUGACAUGGAGGGGGAUACUCUGGAUGGUGGCUGACUGUCCCGACCUUUGAGUUUUGGCAGCAGUUCACAGGUUUGCCAAAGCUCAGCUGGAGCACAGCAGCUUGACAGAUGGCUCUCCAGUACCCUGGGGACCCACCUGAUCUUACUCUCCAGGUGCUGUUCCCUCCCUCCCUUGUGCUCCCUUCCCUCAGCGACUACAUUGUACUACCUCUAAAUUAUCUUUAAAUCAGUACCCAGCAGUACCCCAGACUCUUGCUCUCUCUCAGGACCCUUACAACUAAACAGAGGAACCCUGCAAAGAAACACAUGCAACACCUCAGAAAAAAAACACCCUGGCACCCAGGUCUGCCAGCCUGUCCCUCCAUGGAGCAGGGAUUGUUUCAAGCAAUCGGUUCUAUUGCAUGCUCAACGACAGUUUAUCAGCUGUGGCCAAAACAUCCUUCCUCUUGACAGCAGCGUGCGGAGUGUGACUUGUGCUGCCCCCACCACCAGCCCCAAGGCUGAAGCUCCCAGCACUUGGCUCAGAGUACACCCACAGAAACAACCACUUGUCUGCAGAGAUGCUCCGUGGCACCGGUCCACAGUAGUCCCGCAGACAGACUGCCGCUUCAUCCCACAGGAAUCAAACCCCAAACCAUCUCUUAGAUCAAAGCUGCAAAAAUAACUGCCAAACUUUCCUGCUAUGAUGGGCAAGAAUAGAAAGGUCCAUUUUGGGGGGGGGAGACAGGGAGGGGAAACACUCUGAAUGACAUCCAGGUCUCAGCUAUACAACUUCACAACAGCAAAGAAAUGAAUGCUGAAAGAAAACCCAUGAGCGUGUUCCUUAGGAUCCUCACUGCUCUUUUCCUUCUCAAUUUGAUGUCACAGAAAUGGCAACAGUAAAUCAGAUAAUGUGCUCAAGCACCAAUAACACCCCUUUCACACAGUUCACUGGAAGGUCUCUUGCACUGUCACGUUUCUGAGCACGCAGUCACAUUGUUAGGAUUUCUCUAACCAGGAACUCCGCAAGUCAUCCUUUUUAAUGAAAGCGGGGUUUCCCUGUCGGAAGCUGUGCUUUAGAAAAUACCCCCAGAUCUCAUGGGCCCAGUUACAGGAGUUAGCUACACAAGCAGCUGACAGACUGGAGAAAGAAGGAACUUAGUUUCUGUAUUUUCAGCACAUUUGUGUCAUGUUUAGUAGCAAUUGAAAGCUUUUUUUUUUUUUUUAACCCAGCAAAGUUGAGGAUAGGUUUUCUGGACCAAGAACCAGGACUUGCUAAACACCUGAGGUUUGCUCCUUUUCCCCUGGAAAAGAAAGCUGCAUGUUAGGUGAAAGGCAAGGCUGUUCCAGCUGGUUUCCUGUUAGGAAAGGCUUUGGACAGUCCUGGUGGCAGAAGUGCAUCGCCAUGAAGUCACCGACAUAAGUGUACCACACCCGGACACAGCAGCACCUCUGCGGCUGAGGAGGAAAGCGUAGCCCUGACUUGCUCCCCAUCGGCCUUCCAGCUCACCACUGGAGCCAUGAUCACUGCCAGCACGGGGCGACCUCAGCCUUUCAGUUCUCCAGCACCAAAAAAAUAAAUACAUUUAAAAAAAUCAAUUUCUAGCAAGGUAAAGGUAAAUCCAGGCAUCAAGCAUGAUGCAUCCUGGCCUGGAGCUUUCUCUGUCUGGCAGUAAGACAGAGGUGGCAGCACCAUCCCUCUGCUCUUCAGGCUCAUCUGGAGGCUCCAUCCAGCAGCAUCUCCCCAUGCUCCUCCCAAUAGGGCUGCGGCACACAGAGCUUACGCGGCUCCUCCUGACCCGAACCCCUCUUUCUCACUACCUGCACAUCCAUACUUACCCAAGCAGCGCUGCUCCUGCUUUCUACCCAUGCCACCCUGCGAGAGACUGCACUGCCUCCAUCGCCCGGGUGCCUCAGGCCUGGCGUACCCUCUAUCUCCGAAGGCAUCCCGCCCUUUCCCUACAGCUUCCCCUCUCCCCAUCCCAAGCCUCCCGCUGGCUCCACAGCACCACAAGCCAUGCUCGCCCACGCAUCCCAGGAGCAGCACAGGAUCUGCCUCCUGCCAUGCUCAGCAGCCCUCCACUCCAGUCAUUUCUGUCCUCUGGGAACAGUUGGACGAAAACCUGCCUUUCCAUCCCCCAAAACAGUUGGCACAGGUCCUGAAGAGGUCCCUGCACAGGCCUGCAGGCACUGCCUUGUCCGCCUCUGCCUGUGUGCCAGGGCUGAGCCCAGCACCCACAGGAGCAGCACGUCCCUGUGAUGCAGCCCCGUGCCCAUCCAUCCAUGGCCGACAUGCACCGUGGACCGCAGUGCCCCAGCAGGGCAGGGUGACGUGCUGGAGGGCUUCACCCCUCUCCCCCAGCCAGGGCUGCGAUGCCAAGCACGUUUCAGCCGCAGCAGGGUUUUGUCCCAUCUGUUUCAGGCGCCUUGAAGGCCCCAAGGAGCCAGUGCAGGGCCACAGGCUGCAGAUUCCCCAUCUGUGCCACAUCUGAGCUGGCUAACGCAGCGGAAAAAAGAAACCACCCAGCGCCUGGGUCUCUGAGGAGGUGAUGUGCUCUGCUCCCUCCUCCCCUGCAGGGCUGAGGUAAUGCCGCUGCAGGCCAGGAGGCAGCUGGGAGAAAAAGCCGGGUUUGAGGGAAGGGUCAGUGCUGCCCCUUGCAAAGCAACUGCCCAUCGCCCAGCCCUGGGCACCUGCGUGGCAGCUGCGGCCGCCGCUCUUCAAUUUAGUUUUUUUCCCCCAUUUGUGUUCCGUUGUGAAGAGUUUGACCUUUUCUCUCCAAUCCAGGCAUGUGGCCUGAGUCACCCAGGCAUUUAGGCUGCCAGGAAUAUGCUCUGUGCCCCAGGACUGGGAGAGGAGAGCAUUUGCUAGUCUGGGGAAGGGUGAUCCUGCAAGCCUCUGCCACGCUGGCAUCUAGCUGUUGGUUUGCUUCACUGCAAACGAGGGUGAUGGGGUUUGGCACCACCCGUCCUGAGAUUUGCACAAGGGAAGGCGGUAUUUCUUAACACCAUCGAUCAUCGCUUUCUGCACAAGGGCCAUAUUAAAUCCCAAAACAUUACUGCGAACAGGCAAUCAGCAGAGAAAUGGGUUGGUUUCAGGGCAUUUAUGAAGGAAAUCUGUAUUCUUUGUCCAAAGGCUUGAUUUAAGUUUUCCAGUUAGUUAUAUCAAAAAAAUGAUUGCAGCAAAAGCUGACACAAAAACUGGCGGCUUGCUAGGUAGUUGUGAGGGCUUGUCACAUCUACAGAGCGCUCCGAAUUGCUUAAGGAUUUAAGUUCGAGCAUACAGCCUGUAUUUUGACACAGCCCAACCUAGAGUGAAAAAGAAAGAAGGGACAGACCCAGGCACCCACCAGUCAGCCCCUGUGAAGACGGUAAUCAGUCAGCUCUGCAGGAAUGUCCAGCCUGGUUCCAUGGCUAAGUUGCUCCAAUUCUGCUGGCCAAGGGCAGUGGUGGGGAGCAGGGAGCCAACACCAGGCAGGCGACCCGGCUGUGGCCUGGGCUAUGUGAACAGGGCAUGGGAAAGCGGAGGCGACACCAUAAGUUGCUGGCCGUGGCGGAUAGCAGUGUGAAAGCACCACGGAUCUCACAGCUGGGGUAAGCAGGAGCUGUGUGAGAAGUGGCCAAACUGCACAGGCAGUUGCUGGGGUUAUUCCGGGGAGCAGAACCUAGCAGGACCAUUGGUGCGCCACUAAUCCUAUGAGCUGAGGCUGCCUUGGUAACGGUAUUGAAAACACGAAGUUUGGGUACGCCAUGCAGCAAAACUGGGACCCAAGGCAAAACAGUAAUUAUGGUGGAUUGCUUGUUUGCAAGGAGACUUGGGUGGAAAAUGGCAGGUCAAGAAACAGGAAAAUGGGUAAGUUACACAGUGCCAAGGGGCCUCCAAGCUGUGCCCAUCGAGCAGCCCCACACUUCAUCACGAGAGUGCGAGCAGAGCAGCAAAAUAAACCCAUUUUUCUGGUCAUACCACGUGGAUCAAACCUGCCUUUGGUCACAACAUGGUACCACAGCAUGCUUUCCCUUGCCAGGAGGGCAGCACCUGGGUGGAGGCGUGGAUUGAGCAUCACAGCAUUUCUGUGUCAGUGCCUGUUCCAGGCAGCUGGCACCAGCCUCUUCCCACCACAUCUUAAGACAAACGUUAAUUAUCUGGGUCAAAAAUUCACAGCUGAAAAUACCAUCUCUCAUCAGCCCAUCUCCUCAGGAGAAAAAAAAAAAGCGGGGGGAGCAUAUCCUAAUCAGUGGUCUGUAAAGAAUAACCAAUGCAUAAACUCUGUAAUCGUUUGCCUAGAAAGCCGCUCUCUUGCGUAUUAUUCUCCUCUCGCAGGGAGAUGAGAGGAGUACAGGAAACUCACUUCCAGUUUAUUCCUCCUCAUUCAAAAGGCAGAAAACCACAU